UGCAUUUUGAUCUGAGUAGAUGGGGGCGUAUUUUUCGGGUCGCUGUUUUACUUCGCCGUUUGAAUCUUUUGAUGUAAACCGUAGUGAUUUUCGUUUGUGGGUUGCUAAAAGUGCAUUUUUGAACUGUUAAAUUGAGCCUCUGCCUAACACCAACUGGUGGUGUCGGUCGCUCGGUCAAGAAGCAUAGAAGUUUCUGGUUGGUAGUUUGCCUUUUUGGCCAACAUCAUCAUCAGCAGCAGCAACAGAGUACACGGUACGAACGACUCGAAGAAGACAGUCAACAAUCGAGCUCGACGCAACGUUGGAUACGGUUUCAGGUUUAGUGUGAGUGCAACCCGCGGUGGACAACGACGUCCCAAAAUUGAAAUCUUGCAUACUUCUCGGACUCGGAGAUUGUGUGUUGAGGAGCCGUUUUGACCCUUCUACUACGGAUCGUUUUCCAAUUGAUGUGCCCAUUCAUGUGCUUACCCAGUUGCAAGAGACCAUCACUCAAGAAAGAAGCGAAAGAAUACAUGCUCUGGAUUGCAUUGCUCGAAGUUUCACGUUAGCUAUCUUUGGGUCCACGUAUAAAACACGUUCGUGUUCUACUACGUGUACCUACGUAUAUAGGUGAUCCCUGGCAACACAUCACAGAAGUGUAAAGGAAAGAAAAAUCAAAUAUUGAAAUACGAUAACAACGACGGUCUGUGUAGUGUAGAGUCGAUUGGUGUAAACUGGGGGGUUUUUAUGGGUCCGGUACCUCGGUGGUAAGUCUCCGGAAGGGGAAAAAGGGUGAGAGGAUUGUGAGCCAGCCACCACAGCAAUUCAUCGCUUUUGCAUAAGAAAUAAACCAGAAGAAGGAAGGUGCCGUUUCUGGGAUAUAUUUGCGAAGCACUCACCUAUUUGCUCCGUGUGCUGAUGUUUGUGAAUCGAUGUGUUUUCCUGUGUCUUGUGUAGAAGUGACUCCAGCAUUAUCUGGCUGCUCCAAAGUGGCCACAGAAUACGAUUAAGGGUCGCGAAAAAAUUCCCUACACAUUUAGGAGCGAAGCAAAUCAAUGUAUAUGAAGGUAUCUCAAAACGGUGAAACAGGAAGAAAGUCAAAAGCAACUAAGUAGUUUCGGAAUAACAACAUCAACAGCUCAAACCAGUGCCACAUUCAUUGGGCAGAUUGAAUGGAAAGUUGCCCUGCCGGUUGUGGAGGCGGCCUGUGUGGAAUUAGAAUUGGAUUACCACAUCAGAGGCGCACUAGCAGAAGAAAAUAUCUCCUACUCCUGUAGCUAGUCUAUUUGUGUGAGACCUUACUUCCUCUAUUCGACGGAGUAAACGAGGCAGAGCUAUUGCGUGGCCUACUCAGAUAAACUUUCGGUAUUGGUGUAGCAUUCCCCGGACUGCACCAUGUUGCGGUUUCUCAGUCGCCGGAAGACCCGGAAUUUACCCGGAUCUGACACGGCCGACAGCCGAAUCAAGUCGCAGCGGAUUCCGACCAACAAAAACCUGAUUCCAUGUCGGGUCAUCCUACUGGACAAUACGGAUUUAUCGGUUGAUUUAACG